GAUGAACGCUAGCGGCAGGCUUAACACAUGCAAGUCGAGGGGUAGAGUUAGCUUGCUAACUUGAGACCGGCGCACGGGUGCGUAACGCGUAUGCAAUCUACCUUGUACAGAGGGAUAGCCCAGAGAAAUUUGGAUUAAUACCUCAUAGUAUUAUUGAAUGGCAUCAUUUGAUUAUUAAAGUUCCAACGGUACAAGAUGAGCAUGCGUCCCAUUAGCUAGAUGGUAAGGUAACGGCUUACCAUGGCAACGAUGGGUAGGGGUCCUGAGAGGGAGAUCCCCCACACUGGUACUGAGACACGGACCAGACUCCUACGGGAGGCAGCAGUGAGGAAUAUUGGUCAAUGGGCGCAAGCCUGAACCAGCCAUGCCGUGUGCAGGAAGACGGUCCUAUGGAUUGUAAACUGCUUUUAUAUGGGAAGAAACCCUGCUACGUGUAGCAGCUUGACGGUACCGUAAGAGUAAGCAUCGGCUAACUCCGUGCCAGCAGCCGCGGUAA
rnacentral:rRNA from 1 species